rnacentral:rRNA from 1 species
UCAGGAUGAACGCUGGCGGCGUGCUUAACACGUGCAAGUCGAACGGGGUACCCUGGAAAGAGUUUCGGACAAUGGAAGGGGUUACUUAGUGGCGGACGGGUGAGUAACGCGUGAGGAACCUGCCUUGGAGUGGGGAAUAACAGUCAGAAAUGAUUGCUAAUACCGCAUAAAGCAGAGGGGCUGCAUGGUCCAACUGCCAAAGAUUUAUCGCUCUGAGAUGGCCUCGCGUCUGAUUAGAUAGUUGGCGGGGUAACGGCCCACCAAGUCGACGAUCAGUAGCCGGACUGAGAGGUUGACCGGCCACAUUGGGACUGAGAUACGGCCCAGACUCCUACGGGAGGCAGCAGUGGGGAAUAUUGGGCAAUGGGCGCAAGCCCUGACCCAGCAACGCCGCGUGAAGGAAGAAGGCCUUCGGGUUGUAAACUUCUUUUAACAGGGACGAAGGAGUGACGGUACCUGUUGAAUAAGCCACGGCUAACUACGUGCCAGCAGCUGC